rnacentral:rRNA from 1 species
CCUACGGGGGGCUGCAGUAGGGAAUCUUUCACAAUGGGCGAAAGCCUGAUGGAGCAACGCCGCGUGCAGGAUGAAGGCCUUCGCGUUGUAAACUGCUUUUAUAAGCGAGAAAUAUGAUGGUAACUUAUGAAUAAGGAUCGGCUAACUACGUGCCAGCAGCCGCGGUCAUACGUAGGAUCCGAGCAUUAUCCGGAGUGACUGGGUGUAAAGAGUUGCGUAGGUAGCAUAAUAAGUAGCUAGUGAAAUCUGGUGGCUCAACCAUUCAGACUAUUAGCUAAACUGUUAAGCUCGAGACCGUUAGGGGUAACUGGAAUUUCUAGUGUAGGAGUGAAAUCCGUAGAUAUUAGAAGGAACACCAGUAGCGUAGGCAGGUUACUGGGACGGUUCUGACGCUGAAGCACGAAAGCGUGGGUAUCGAACAGGAUUAGAUACCCGGGUAGUC